GCGGACGUGGCGAAACCGGUAGACGCAGGAGACUUAAAAUCUCUCUCCCGCAAGGGAAUGCGGGUUCGAGUCCCGCCGUCCGCACCA
rnacentral:tRNA from 1 species